rnacentral:rRNA from 1 species
GACGAACCGUGCGAACGUUGUUCGGAUUCACUGGGCGUAAAGGGUGCGUAGGCGGUUUGAUAAGUCUGAUGUGAAAUCCCGCAGCUUAACUGCGGAACUGCGUUGGAAACUAUUUGACUAGAGGAAUGGAGGGGAGACUGGAAUACUUGGUGUAGCAGUGAAAUGCGUAGAUAUCAAGUGGAACACCAGUGGCGAAGGCGAGUCUCUGGACAUUUCCUGACGCUGAGGCACGAAAGCCAGGGGAGCAAACGGG